GAUGAACGUUGGCGGCGUGCCUAAUACAUGCAAGCCGAACGAAGACUGUAGUAAUACUGUCUUAGUGGCGAACGGGUGAGUAACGCGUGGGUGACCUGCCCCGAAGUGUGGGAUAACAGUUCGAAAGAACUGCUAAUACCGCAUAACAUCCAAGAGAUUAGAAGCUUUUGGAUUAAAGGAGUAAUUCGCUUCGGGAGGGGCCCGCGUCCCAUCAGCUAGUUGGUAAGGUAAUGGCUUACCAAGGCGAUGACGGGUAGGGGACCUGAGAGGGUGGCCCCCCACAAUGGAACUGAAACACGGUCCAUACACCUACGGGUGGCAGCAGUAGGGAAUAUUAGUAAUGGGCGAAAGCCUGAACUAGCAACGCCGCGUGUGCGAAGAAGGCCUUCGGGUUGUAAAGCACUUUUUGAGAGGAUGAGGAAGGACGGUACUCUCAGAAUAAGUCUCGGCUAACUACGUG
rnacentral:rRNA from 1 species